rnacentral:rRNA from 1 species
GCGAAAACUUUACAAUGCUGGCAACAGCGAUAAGGGAACCUCGAGUGCCAGGUUACAAAUCUGGCUGUCGAGAUGCCUAAAAGCAUUUCAUAGCAAGGGCCGGGCAAGACCGGUGCCAGCCGCCGCGGUAACACCGGCGGCUCGAGUGGUAACCGUUAUUAUUGGGUCUAAAGGGUCUGUAGCCGGCCGGAUAAGUCUCUUGAGAAAUCUGGCAGCUUAACUGUCAGGCUUUCAGGAGAUACUGGCUGGCUCGAGGCCGGGAGAGGUGAGAGGUACUUCAGGGGUAGGGGUGAAAUCUUGUAAUCCUUGAAGGACCACCAGUGGCGAAGGCGUCUCACCAGAACGGACCUGACGGCAAGGGACGAAAGCUAGGGGCACGAACC